rnacentral:rRNA from 1 species
UACGAAGGGGGCUAGCGUUGCUCGGAAUCACUGGGCGUAAAGCGCAUGUAGGCGGCUUGUUAAGUCAGGGGUGAAAUCCUGGAGCUCAACUCCAGAACUGCCUUUGAUACUGGCGAUCUUGAGUCCGGGAGAGGUGAGUGGAACUCCGAGUGUAGAGGUGAAAUUCGUAGAUAUUCGGAAGAACACCAGUGGCGAAGGCGGCUCACUGGCCCGGUACUGACGCUGAGGCGCGAAAGCUAGGGGAGCAAACGGG